UCAAAACAACUUUGAUAACAUGAGUUUUUUCCAUCUCUUGCCGUUCUUCUCUCUGCUCACAGACGCCAUCCUUUCUGUUCUUCUAUCAACCAAGCGGGAAAAUUAGGUGGGAUUUUGAGAGAGAAGGCGGGAUUUUGAGAGAAAAGAGAGGAGUCCUAAUUAGGACUCUUCCUUACCCAAACAAGAUGGAUGACAAUAUAAAAGAGAAUCGGCUCUGUUCAUCACAAGAUCAACUUCUACUCUCUCUAUUCAAUAUUCAUUUCAAAGGAUUACAGAUGUUCUUCGUUCGAUUUUCCGGUGUUCAAUUUUCCAGAUGAUAUUUCAAGCUCUACAAAUCAAGGCUUCCUCUACCCCUGCUGAAUUGAAGAGAAAGCGUGGAAUAAAGACUGUAAAGGGUAUGAUUCAGAUGAUUGCUAGGAAUAGCAACAAGAAGAUGGAGAUAAUAUUUGACCGGAUGUAUUGGGUCCUUAUUACUGAAUACAUGUACAGUAAGUUCACUACCUCUAUAGGGAUUCAAGUUCGAAGCCGAGCUCCAGUAUGUUACUAUGGGUGGAAUAAGAUUCCAGUAGAUAUUAAGAAGACAUUGAGAGACGGAUUAACAGUACAUUUUGAUGUGGAAAUAGAACAUCCAAAAAUUGUGAAUUUUGUGAAUAACUAGGUGCGCUUGGCGUAUACUCAAUUCAAGUGGAAGUUGCAUGAUCACUACCGAAAAUGUGAAACACCUGCUGAGGGAUUAGCCAUGCUUCCUCCACGAGAUCUAUGGCGUGAGAGAUCGACAGAGGAGUGGCAUUGCCUAUGUGAUAAACUCUAUACUAAUCCAAAAUAUAUUGUAAAAUGCAACAAGAAUUCAGCUAGCCGAAGAAACAAAACAGUAUGAAUCGUGGCGGAGCUGUGUCUUUCAUUUAACAUGCCUUGGAGGAGUUGUGCUAGACUUCUUGGAGGACGAUUUGGGAUUUAUAAAGUCAUUUUCAGUCAUUUUUGGUUUAGGUUAGCUAGUUUUUUCUUUUUGUUAGUUAUUAUUAUUUUUGGGUAGAAUUUUUGUAAGCUCUAUUUGAUUAAUGAAAAAUCUUGGAUUAUUAUUAA